rnacentral:rRNA from 1 species
AGGAUUGACAGAUUGAANAGCUCUUUCUUGAUUCNNUGGGUGGUGGUGCAUGGCCGUUCUUAGUUGGUGGAGUGAUUUGUCUGGUUAAUUCCGAUAACGAACGAGACUCUAGCCUACUAAAUAGU